rnacentral:tRNA from 1 species
GCCGGGAUAGCUCAGCUGGUA